AUGUCCAUCCGCUCAGAUCGCUACCGCCGGUGGGAACGCCGCGCUCGAACUAGAUCACACGACGGCGACACGCCAAUCGAGAGGCUCAACGACGAUGUCCUCGUGGAGAUCAUCUCGCGCGUCCCGUCCAGGCAGCGCUGGCGCUGCAAGCGCGUGUGCAGGCGGUGGCUGCGCCUCGCCAGGACGCUGCCCCAGUCCCUCGCCGGCUUCUUCUACACCAGCAGCAACAAGGAGCGCUUCCCGGAGACCGCCCUCCACUUCUUCAACGUCUCAGGUGGCCAGGGGGGCCGCCCUUUCAUCUACCCCUCCUUCGCCUUCCUGCCCAGCCGCCGGCGCCUCGACCUCCUGGACUGCUGCAACGGCCUCGUCCUCUGCCGCUGGUAUGGCGUCUCUGCCCCGGACGACGAUGAUGACGGGUUCCGCUACGUGGUGUGCAACCCCGCCACGGAGGAGUGGGUCGCGCUGCCGGACAUUGACAUCCCAAACAGCUGCAAGGCCAUCAAGGAGUACAGAGUGCGUCUCGGUUUUGAUCCGGCCACGUCUUCCCACUUCCACGUGUUUGUACUUUCUUGGGGUGGCCGCCACCGCCUCGGAGUGGAUGUCUACUCGUCGGAAACCGGCACAUGGGUUUACAAUGAAGUGAGAUUGGGUGGAGAUGUCAACCUCUUUCAUCAUCUGAAGGGAACUGUCUUCCUCAAUGGCCGUCUCCAUUUUCACACUUUGGAUUAUCAUGUCUAUGAUGAUUCUGGUCGUUGGGUGGGGAGGGGUGUCCCUUCUAUAGCUGCAGUGGACACGGACGGCGAAACAUGGUCAGACUUUGGUUUUCCUAGACAUCUGCAGCGUGAUCUGGGUAUGGAGGAUGAUGGUUUUAUUCAGCUGUCGCAGGGCCGCUUGCAUUAUGCAAAUAUUACUCAGAGAAAUACCGGUAUUAAGACAGUAGUUUACGUUCUCGAGGACUAUGACAGAAGAGAAUGGGUACUGAAGCAUACCGUUAAACUUUCAGACAUGUUUGAUAGCAAAGACUACGGGAUUGGCUUUGAUUGGGUUGCGAUCCAUCCAGAAUGUAACGUGAUCUUCUUCACCCUGUGGUCAGGAAAUCAGUUCAUGUGUUACAACAUGGAUACUGGGCGAACUAGCCAGAUCCGCACUCUUGAAGAUGGCCGGUCACCGUAUCUGUCAUAUGUGCCGUUCUACUCAGAGUUGCAAUGUUUGCGCUCGUGA
rnacentral:rRNA from 1 species